rnacentral:rRNA from 1 species
CACGUAGGGUGCGAGCGUUGUCCGGAAUUAUUGGGCGUAAAGAGCUCGUAGGCGGUGUGUCGCGUCGGCCGUGAAAACCUGGGGCUUAACUCUGGGCUUGCGGUCGAUACGGGCAUCACUGGAGUUCGGCAGGGGAGACUGGAAUUCCUGGUGUAGCGGUGAAAUGCGCAGAUAUCAGGAGGAACACCUAUGGCGAAGGCAGCUCUCUGGGACGGUACUGACGCUGAGACGCGAAAGCGUGGGGAGCGAACAGG